rnacentral:rRNA from 1 species
CCUACGGGUGGCAGCAGUGAGGAAUAUUGGUCAAUGGACGAGAGUCUGAACCAGCCAAGUAGCGUGAAGGAUGACUGCCCUAUGGGUUGUAAACUUCUUUUAUAUGGGAGUAAAAUGUUCCACGUGUGGGAUUUUGUAUGUAACCUAUGAAUAAGGAUCGGCUAACUCCGUGCCAGCAGCCGCGGUAAUACGGAGGAUCCGAGCGUUAUCCGGAUUUAUUGGGUUUAAAGGGAGCGUAGGUGGUUUGUUAAGUGAGUUGUGAAAGUUUGGGGCUCAACCGUAAAAUUGCAGUUGAAACUGGCAGUCUUGAGUACAGUAGAGGUAGGCGGAAUGCGUGGUGUAGCGGUGAAAUGCUUAGAGAUCACGCAGAACUCCGAUUGCGAAGGCAGUUCACUGGACUGCAACUGACGCUGAGGCACGAAAGUGUGGGUAUCAAACAGGAUUAGAUACCCUAGUAGUC